ACAGCCAUGCUCUCUCUGCCAGUCAAAGUUCUGUGUUGCCUCCGUUGCUCUAAAGUUAUACCUAUGGAGCUGCAGCCCCGACUACCAACACUUUGGGGCACAACCUGAAGACCCUCACAGUCAAUGUCACCAUCUCCACCUUCUGG